UAAUACUCUAUUCUCAUAGAUAUUCCAUGUCUGCCAGGCUCCACACAGCUCCCUUCUCCCUCCACACAGCUGCAGGGUCUGCUCUGUCUCUGGGUUGUCCUCUUGGAGGGGAGCAUCAGACCACCUGGUCCAACUCUCAGGUUCAGUUCUCUGGAUCUGUGCCAACAGAAUCCCGAUGGUCCCUAAGCCACAAAUUCUGAAUUUUGAUUCAAGGCGGAUGCAAAGUUCAUGGGGAGACAAUCACAGUGUGAAGGUUGAGAUGAGUUCCAAGUAAUCAAGUGUGGUUAUCUAUACUGGAGAGUUUGAAGAGAGCAAUGAGUGUGUAAAAAAGAUUACCAGGGACUCUGGGGCCUGGAAAUGAGAGAGGAAACAAAAGAAGGGGAGAAGUGAAGAGGAAAGGAGGGAAGAAAGCUGUAUGUUCCCUAUCAGGCUGGAAUAAACAAAGCAUUAUUUGACUUUA